rnacentral:rRNA from 1 species
CUGCCCAAGAGACUGGGAUAACACCUGGAAACAGAUGCUAAUACCGGAUAACAACACCAGACGCAUGUCUAGAGUUUGAAAGAUGGUUCUGCUAUCACUCUUGGAUGGACCUGCGGUGCAUUAGCUAGUUGGUAAGGUAACGGCUUACCAAGGCAAUGAUGCAUAGCCGAGUUGAGAGACUGAUCGGCCACAUUGGGACUGAGACACGGCCCAAACUCCUACGGGAGGCAGCAGUAGGGAAUCUUCCACAAUGGACGAAAGUCUGAUGGAGCAACGCCGCGUGAGUGAAGAAGGGUUUCGGCUCGUAAAGCUCUGUUGGUAGUGAAGAAAGAUAGAGGUAGUAACUGGCCUUUAUUUGACGGUAAUUACUUAGAAAGUCACGGCUAACUACGUGCCAGCAGCCGCGGUAAUACGUAGGUGGCAAGCGUUGUCCGGAUUUAUUGGGCGUAAAGCGAGUGCAGGCGGUUCAAUAAGUCUGAUGUGAAAGCCUUCGGCUCAACCGGAGAAUUGCAUCAGAAACUGUUGAACUUGAGUGCAGAAGAGGAGAGUGGAACUCCAUGUGUAGCGGUGGAAUGCGUAGAUAUAUGGAAGAACACCAGUGGCGAAGGCGGCUCUCUGGUCUGCAACUGACGCUGAGGCUCGAAAGCAUGGGUAGCGAACAGGAUUAGAUACCCUGGUAGUCCAUGCCGUAAAC